rnacentral:rRNA from 1 species
UGGUCCUACGGGGCGCAGCAGUGGGGGAUAUUGCACAAUGGGGGGAACCCUGAUGCAGCGACGCCGCGUGGGUGAAGGAGUGCUUCGGCAUGUAAAGCCCUAUCGGCAGGGAAGAAGCAAGACGGUACCUGCAAAGGAAGCACCGGCUAACUCCGUGCCAGCAGCCGCGGUAAUACGGAGGGUGCGAGCGUUAAUCGGAAUUACUGGGCGUAAAGCGCUCGUAGGCGGUAUGUCAAGUCAAGGGUGAAAUCCCCGCGCUCAACGUGGGAACUGCCUUUGAAACUGGCAAACUGGAGUGUGUGAGG